rnacentral:rRNA from 1 species
GACGAACGCUGGCGGCGUGCUUAACACAUGCAAGUCGAACGGAAAGGCCCUGCUUUUGUGGGGUGCUCGAGUGGCGAACGGGUGAGUAACACGUGAGUAACCUGCCCUUGACUUUGGGAUAACUUCAGGAAACUGGGGCUAAUACCGGAUAGGAGCUCCUGCUGCAUGGUGGGGGUUGGAAAGUUUCGGCGGUUGGGGAUGGACUCGCGGCUUAUCAGCUUGUUGGUGGGGUAGUGGCUUACCAAGGCUUUGACGGGUAGCCGGCCUGAGAGGGUGACCGGCCACAUGGGGACUGAGAGACGGCCCAGACUCCUACGGGAGGCAGCAGUGGGGAAUAUGGCACAAUGGGCGGAAGCCUGAUGCAGCAACGCCGCGUGCGGGAUGACGGCCUGCGGGUUGUAAACCGCUUUCGCCUGUGACGAAGCGUGAGUGACGGUAAUGGGUAAAGAAGCACCGGCUAACUACGUG